GCCGAGAGGCCCAGACCUCCCUCUCCCCAGCCACCUCCUCCAACUUAUCCGGGGGAACACCAAGGCAUUCCCAGGCCAGCCGAGAGAUAUAAUCGCUCCAGCGUGUCCUGGGUCUGCCCCGGGGCCUCCUCCUGGUGGGACAUGCCUGGAACACCUCACCCAGGAAGCGCCCAGGAGGCAUCCUGCUCCUUUCGAUGUGGAGCAGCAGGCUCCUUUCGAUGUGGAGCAGCAGCGGCUCUACUCUGAGCCCCUCCCGGAUGGCCGAACUUCUCACCCUAUCUCUAAGGGAGAGGCCAGCCACCCUUCGGAGAAAGCUCAUUUCUGCCGCUUGUAUCCGCGAUCUCGUUCUUUUGGUCACUACCCACAGCUCGUGGCCAUAGGUGAGGGUAGGGACGUAGAUCAACCGGUAAAUUGAGAGCUUCACUUUUACACUCAGCUCCCUCUUCACCACAAUGGACCGGUGCAGCGUCCGCAUUACUGCAGCUGCAGCCCCAAUCCGUCUGUCGAUCUCCGGCUCCCUUCUCCCAUCACUCGCGAACAAGACCCCGAGACACUUGAGGCAGAAACUCAUCCCCGACCCGGAGUGGGCACUCCACCCUUUUCCGGCUGAGAACCAUGGCCUCAGAUUUGGAGGUGCUGAUCCUCAUUCCCGCUGCUUCACACUCGGCUGCAAACCGUUCCAGUGCGAGCUGGAGGCCCUCACCCGAUGAAGCCAACAGAACCACAUCAUCCACAAAAAGCAGAGAUGAGAUUCUGAGGCCACCAAAGCGAAAGCCCUCCGCCACUUGGCUGCGCCUAGAAAUCCUGUCCAUAAAAAUUAUGAACAGAACCGGAGACAAAGGGCAGCCCUGGCGGAGCCCAUCACCCACCUGGAACGAGUCCGACUUAUUGCCGGCAAUGUGAACCAAGCUCUUGCAACGGUUGUAUAGGGAUUGAAUGGCCCGUAGCAAUGGGCCAGACACCCCAUACUCCCGCAACACCUCCCACAGGACACCCCGAGGGACACAGUCAAAUGCCUUCUCCAAGUCCACAAAACACAUGUAGACUGGUUGGGCAAACUCCCAUGCACCCUCAAGUAUCCUUGAGAGGAUAAAAAGCUGGUCCAGUGUUCCGCGACCAGGAUGAAAACCGCAUUGGGGCGACCGUGGCUCAGGGGGUUGGGAAUUGCAUCUGUAACCGGAAGGUUGCCGGUUCGAUCCCUGGGCUCUCUGUCCUAGUCGUUGUGUCCUUGGGCAAGACACUUUACCCUACUUGCCUACUGGUGUUGGCCAGAGGGGCCGAUGGCGCGAUAUGGCAGCCUCGCUUCUGUCAGUCUGCCCCAGGGCAGCUGUGGCUACAAACGGUAGCUUGCUUCCACCAGUGUAUGAAUGUGAGAGUGAAUGAAUAGUGGUAUUGUAAAGCGCUUUGGGUGCCUUGAAAAGCGCUAUAUAAAUCCAAUCCAUUAUUAUUAUUGUUCCUCCUGUAUCUGAGAUUCGACUAGCGGACGAAGUCUCCUUUCCAACACCCUGGCAUAGACUUUCCCAGGGAGGCUGAGGAGUGUGAUCCCACUGUAGUUGGAACACACCCUCUGGUCUCUCUUCUUAAAGAUGGGGACCACCACCCUGGUCUGCCAGUCCAGGGGUACUGCCCCGGAUCCCCACGCAACAUUGUAGAGGCGUGUCAACCAGGACAACCCUACAACGUCCAGAGCCUUCAGGAACUCGGGGCGGACCUCAUCAACACCAGGGGCUCUGCCACCAAGGAGUUGUUUAACUGCCUCAAUGACCUCGCCCCCGGAAAUUGGCGACUCAUCCCCAGACUUUGCUUCCUCCUUGGAAGACGUCUCAGUGGGAUUAAGGAGGUCCUCGAAGUAUUCCUUCCACCGCCUGACAAUUUUCUCAGUCGACGUCAGCAGCACUCCGGCAGCACUAUACACAGUGCAGGUAGAGCACCGCUUUCCCCUCCUGAGAUGCCUGACGGUUUGCCAGAAUCUCUUCGAGGCAGUCCAAAAGUCUUUUUCCAUGGCCUCUCCGAACUCCUCCCACACCCGAGUUUUUGCUUCAGCCACUGCCCAAGCCACAUUCCGCUUGGCCUGUUGGCUGCCUCUGGAGUCCCACAGGCUAACCAAGCCCGAUAGGACUCCUUCUUCAGCCUGGUGGCUCCCUUGACCUCCGGUGUCCACCAUUUGGUUCGGGGAUUACCACCACGGCAGGCACCAACCUCCUUGCGGCCGCAGUGCAAUGUAGCAGCUUCGGCAAUGGAGACGCUGAACAUGGUCCAUUCGGACUCAGUGUCCCCAGUCUCCCUCGGAAUGCUGUUGAAGCUCUACCGGAGGUGUGCGUUGAAGCUCUCGCGGACUGGGGCCUCUGCUAGACCUUCCCAGCACACCCUCACUACGCGUUUAGGUGCACCGGGUCUGUCCAGCGUCCUCCCCCGCCACCUUAUCCAACUCACCACCAGGUGGUGAUCAGUUGACAGCCAGCCCCUCUCUUUACCCGAGUGUCCAGAACAUAUGGUCGCAGGUCUGGUGAUACGAUUACAAAAUCGAUCAUCGACCUACGGCCUAGAGCGUCCUGGUGCCACGUGCACUUAUGGACAACCUUAUGUUCGAACAAGGUGUUCGUUAUGGCCAAACUGUGAUUUGCACAGAAGUCCAAUAAAACACCAUUAGGGUUCUGAUCAGGGAGGCCGUUCCUCCCAAUGACGCCCCUCCAGGUCUCGCUGUUGUUACCCAUGUGAGCACUGAAGUCUCCCUGCAGGACAACAGAGUCUCCACGUGGAGCACCUUCCAGCACCGAUGACAAGCGCAGAUGACAGUCGAGACCCGUUCCCCGACCCUAAGGCGCAGGGAACAAACCCUCUCAUCCACCUGGAAAAACCCCAACGUACCGGCAGCCAGCUGAGGGAAUAUUAGAAUACCCACCCCAGCCCGCCGCCUCUCACCAGGGGCAACUCCAGACUGAGACAGUGUCCAGCCCCUCUCUAGGAGACUGGUUGCAGCGCCCAAGCCAUGCGUAGAGCUCAGUGUGCCUCCAGUUCUCCAGUCUCCCCAACAAACAUAGUUUCUCCCCCUUCCUCGGCUGACUUUCCCAUCUCAACCCACACCAUGAAGGUGUGAUUCUCACAAGCUUUAGGAUGUCUUAUUCCACCUUCAUGUAGAGCUCUUUUCACCACGUUUUCUGUUCAUAGCAAAAUCUUCCAAAUGCAAGCACCACACCUCAAGUCAACUGCGGGCGUUUUAUCUGCUUAAUUGAUAAUGACAUAACAAAGGAACUGCCCACACAUGCAAAUGAAAGAACACUUUGAGUCAAUUGUCCAAUUACUUUUGGUACCUUUGGUUAAGACGCUGAAUCUCCUAAACCCCUUCAUCCAGUUUGAAUGUGGAUACCAUCAAAUGACAGCUGCUGGACAACUUUAGAAAAUACGAAAUAGUUUGCAGAUUUUGAACUUUGUUAGUUAAUUGAUUUGGUGGCAAUGGAGGCGGCCUUCAAUAGGAAAAGCUGUGAAAUACAAAGUUCCUGUUUUUCCACUAUGACAGUGCGUCCACAGUAAGAAAACAGGGCAUUCUCUGUGAAUUAACAACAAAUUUAUGUUUGUAAUUAUAAAAUUACAGCACAAGACCUUUCUGUAAUUUUCCACAUUUAUCAUGUAGGAUCAGAAAAUAAUGAUUUUUGUUUAUUGGAUUAUUGGAGUCUGAUGUAUUCAGAAAUCACAUUCAAAAGCUAGUGUGUUGUAUUUCAUGCUAAAUGUAGCUAUCAGUAAUAUGACUAACAUUUUUUUUACAACAUUCUGAGUUGAACAUUUUUAUAUUUAUUUUGGAUCUUAAAAUAGAAAAACUGCUUUAACUAUGCAAAUUAUAGUAAAAGGAGACAAAUGCUAUUCACUUGCUUUGUAAAUAAAGAAGCAAUAAAUAAAAUAAAGUAAAUGUAUACACUUUUAACUAGAUGCUUAUGGUUUCAUUACAGUAUUUUGUAUGAUACAUUGUGUAUAAUAUAUUUUAUUGUUGUUAUUUUAAUUCAUUUUAUGAUGGUAUUCACUGCCAUGAAGUCUACUGAGGAAAACUGUCCUGUCUGUAUGUCUGAAUGAAUAAAGGGCAUAACCAAAGACAAUUUGGACUCUUUGAGUUUUAACAGGCCGUUGUAUUUGUGAUCAUCUUAAGUUCUAGUAAACAUAAAGACUCAAUUAGACGAUUGGUUAAAUUCAGAGGUGGAAAAAGUACAGGCAUUCUGCAGGUUGAAGGACACAUACUAGCACUGAAAAUACUCCAGUAAAAGUGGAAGUACUGAUUCAACUUCUUUACUCGAGUAAAAGUAAAAAAAUACUCUGGUAUCGAUGGUCAAUACUAGUGCGACAGGAAGUUCAGUAUCUGUAUUGGUAUGAGCAAUACUGGCCCUGUAUUUAUUUGGUAUUGGAUAGAUACCUAAAUCUGUGCAAUGCGCACAGCACUACUUUAUACUAAACAGUAUGAAGGUGAAGUUCAAUCAAUCAAUCAAUUUAACCAUCAUCAGCUUAACUUCAAACAAAUUUCUGCUACACUUAAUGUAACCUAACUCUGACCAUGAGCACCACAGCCACUGUGCACCAGUCCAGCACAAUGCUUUGAUUUAAAUCCAUCACAUUCCUGCAAGCUAACCAGUUAAUCCUGCACUAAACUGCAAUUUUUUUCAUGUAACCUUUUAAUAGCAUCUAGUCUAUUUUUGUUGUUUUUUAGCACAUUUCACAUAAUGUCACAUGUGCACAUGGAACGCCAGGACUGACAUAAUGAAUUCGUUAAAUACACCAUUAAAUAAUUAAUGAAAUGUGGCAUUAAUUAAUUAAAAUUGUAAGUAAUUAAUUAAAUCAAUAUUUAUGACACAUUUAAUUAAUUAAUUAUUGACUCACACUAACCCAUAAUUUAUUGACAUAAUUAAUUAAUAACACAUUUAAAUAGUUAUUGACAGUUUAAAUUGAUUAUUUAAUGAUGCAUUUAUUUAAUUCAUUUUGGCACUAUUGUCCCCUUCAUGUCUCACCUUGAAAUCAUUUUAUCUGUCAGCCUCACCCAUCAACCUAAGUGGGCGGGGUUAACGCUGCCAUUGCAGCUUCUCUCACAUUUGAUUGGUUGCCGUGCAAAGUAAGUCAAGACAGGUCAAUCCUAGAUAAUCGAUUGCUUGUGUGGACUUGGGGCAGCCAGGUAUCCCAGAAUGCAUUUCAAAUCACAGGCAGCAGUGGUGGUGGUGUAGUUUUAAAAUACCCCGUUUUUCUGUCACCAACUACACUUUUAAUAGUGUUUUAGUGUCGCGGCGUAAUCUUCACAUGUCUGGUCAGGUUGUCAACAUAGAACAUGUUUACAAAAGUGCUCAGAUGUUUUCAGAGAUAUCACUAGCUCUGCUAACAGUCAGCAUGCAGAGUGCACCGAGCUCACAGCCCCGGUGUUCCAGCUUAACUGCUUUUUUUUUUUUUUUAGCUCAACAGGCCCGCAGUUUACCUGCAUGCAUCCUCCUCCUCACCUGUCAGCUGUUUAACACCUGCUGCUAAUUCAAGAAACGCGCCCACGUUACCUGGUGAUAGUCACAGUUUAACUGGGCAGCCGGUGCUCGAUAUAAAGCAAUGUCAGCGCAUUUUUCUGCACAAGAAAAGUAAAUAUAGAUUUUUUUCCCCCGAGCGCAGAGCUGCUGGAGCUUGUUUCCCAACAGAGCACUUUAUAAGCCAACCCACUUUAUCAGUGGCUGAUGUCCAAUCACCGGCACACAACUUUGAAACCUCACCUGAGUUUUAGCUCUCAGUGGUUAAACGCUGGACUUCAUUCACUCAGGUUCUGUCUGUCGGGUCACGUUUACUUCGCUGUUUUAUUUACAACUGAGCAAAUCGGUUUGGCUGAGGUUAAAGUUACGUUUCAUAACUGCAUAGUUUUACAGACCUUUAAUGGUUCACUGGCACAUGUGUUAGACUGAACUAUUCGCUUUUCUUUAUCUGGUGUGUUUUGGAUUUAACAGUGAAUUUUGAGAUUAAACUGACUUUUAAAAUGUUUUUAUACAAAGAGGAAAGAGAAGGCGCAUUUCCACUGAGAGGAGCAGAGUUUGCAACAGCAUGUUCAUCAUGAAGUCUGCAACCUGGACAGAAAUAUUAUAUCAUCUGUUUUUUAAUAGUUAUUCAACUGUAUUCUAAGCACCAGCUGUCGGUUAGAAUUUUUAGAGUUUACUUAACUAAAAAUAAACGAGGUUAACAUACAAUUUGUGUGAUUUUUUUUCCCGAUUUUCUUUUUCAGUCAUGUUAUGUUUAACUGUCAAAGGAUUAUUAGAAACUAUAAAACACAUCGUGCAGACUUCUGGAGGGUAGAAGAAACUAAUACUGCUCAUAAAUGAGACUAAAGGCAGGAAGGUGUCCUCUAAAACUAAACAUGUUAAUAGGACCUCCCUAUUUAUAUCAUAGUUUAUGACAUAGCACGUGUAUUUCAGUAAUAGCCUACUUAUUUCAGUGUAGUGGUGAACAGUCGCACAGCUCACGUAGGCGUUAUCUGUGAUACUCCUUAACUAUAAUUUAUCCAAGUUAACUUCAGUUAACCAUUCAGACAGUUCUUUUGCAAUGACAAACAUAAACACUCAUGUCGUCUGUAGGUUUUCGCAGUGCCAGCUGUUUAAAUGACCUGUGCUUAUGCAGUAACCAUGGUAACCACAGACUCUGAGCAGCUGGACGCAGGUCAGACAACAAUUUUACAUAUAUGAUCUUAAAACAGGACACAGCAACUAUACGUACUGGCCUCAUAUCAAAUGUGUACAUAGACUGAGUCUAUGUUUGACGUUUGUUUUCUAUCUAAUCUUCCUCUCAAACACUUAAACAGCAGCGAGUCUGCAGCUGAGGGAAUACAAACUCAAAUUGUCGGAACAGGUUUGAUUGAUUUAUCAAAUGUAUAAAUGUUAUUCUAAUCUGCUGCUGAGUCUCUUAUGCUGAUGAAAAUGGAGGUAACACAGAUCAUGAACAUCUGUUCAACCAAUCACAUUCAUUCCACUUUGAUCUGCGACAAACUGAUGCGUUCAUCUCUGUUACAGUGUUGCGUUAGACUGCUGUAUUUUUGUUCUUUAUACUGUAGAUUUUCACGUCUCUGGAAUAGUUGGCAGUAAUAAGGAUGAUUUUCUGUAAAAUCAUAUUGAUAUGAUCCGUGAAUUAUUCGUAGAUGACUGUUAGAUUAGUUUGAUGCUGCCGACACUUUCAUGUGACCAAGCUGGGAAACUCUGUGUUAAAUCAGAGAGCAGAAGAUAUCGUGCUGACCUGGCUCCAUGGUGUACAGGGCCGUUUACCCUCAUGAUUAAUAUUUGCAAUAAAAAUAUCAGCUGAACAUCAUGAAGUAUGUGUUUCAUAUGUCGAACAACCUUUGUACAGUUAAACCUAGUAGUUACUACAUGACAGAAAACCAAUGUUAUCUCUUUUAAUAAAGUUUAUGCGUUUAUACACAGGUCAUGCUGAUUAUUGAACAAAAACCCAAAGAUCAGAUGUGAAUCAGAUUUAUUUGCUCUCCCUCCUCCUUAAACAUGUUUUUAAUGUUAGUUAUAAUUCAGAAUUGGCGACUGAAACAGGUAUGACACAUACGAACAUCAGGAAAUAAAAACCCGAUAAAUAUAACCUCAGUAAAUGAAGUCAGUGUAUGGCAGCUGACUACCGGGACCUGCAUUUUGUCGGCGGUAAUAACAGCUCGAUUGCUUACAAAGCAAGCGGGUCUAUCCCACGCUUUGCCGUGAGACUGGGCAGACAUCUCCAAAAUUAUCGAAGCACUUUUGCAAAGAGGCUGUAUCUUGACAAACCAACCAGAUAUCUGAAGAUUAAACCACUACAUUCUCGGCUAAAAAAUAUUAAAGCGGUAUUUGGUGACACACAAACAGGGUUUUUCAAAGUACAGUUCUGUUAGUUUCAACAUGCUGGUUCUUGUGUGCUAAAAACAAUGGCCACCAGGCCAAAGCAAUGGUUUUUACUGGAUCAGUGUUAACCCCGCCCCCUGAGGUUGACAGAUAAAAUAAAUUCGUGGUGAGACCUGAAGGACUCAAUAGUGCCAAAAUGAAUUAAAUAUAUACACCAUUAAAUAAUUAUUUAAAUGUGUCAAUAAUUAAUUAAAAUGUGAAAUAAAUAAAUAAUUAAUUAAAUCUGUCAAAAAUAUUUAUUUAAUUAAUUAUCUCCCAUUUUUAUUAAUUAUUUACAAUUGUAAUUAAUUAUUGCCACAUUUAAUUAAUUAUUUAAUGGUGUAUUUAAUUAAUUCAUUAUGGCAGUCCUGGUGUUCCAUAUGUGCAGACCCAAUAUCUGAUUUAAAAACGUGAGGACUUAUAUUUAAGCUUUAAAUUGCCAGUUAUCAAACACCAAUGAGCAGUCCUUAUCUUUAAAUAUAAAUUCUCUUCCUCAUCUCCUGUCCUGUCUUUACCUUUGUGAAAAACUGCUGGUAUACCUUUAGCCAGCAGACAAACUGUAGGCCCAAACAGUUUAUGUUUGCUGAGCUGAUAGAAACGCGGAACUUAAAGUUACCUGCAACUUAAAAAACAUGACUCCCUUUAUGCUUCUCUCACUACUCGUUUGUAGCACUACCUAGAUGCUUUAUAUAAGUAUGGUAACUGUAACUUAUAGACAUCUGCACUCGUUUUGGUGUUGUGCCUAAAAACAAAACAACAACAACAACUAACUUUAGCCCCUGUAUAGGGCACAUGGUUUUGUCUCUUUAAUCACUUUUGAUGCAAAAUGUCUUGACAAUUAAUACACAAUUAAUAUUGUCUUCCAAGUGUUAAUUUUUAGGCUCAAAUCAGUUUGAUGUACAAAGGCUAGCAGUGACAUGAAAAAACUCUCCUCAGAGCCUAUUUUGAAAAUGUAGGGAGUAAAAAGUACAGACUUUUGGGAUGCUGGUUUAGCUUAGUGCAUUGAGCGGGUCAGCACAUGCCAUAUGGUUGAGAGCGGCUGGCCCGAGUUUUAGUCUGACCCGCAGCUCUUUGCUGCAUGUCUUGCCCUCUUCAUCUGCCCCUACCUUCCUGUCCUCUCUUCACUGUAUCUAUCGAAUAAAGUUGAAAAAGGCUCCCAAAAAAUAGAGUACAGAUAUAUUCUUUAAAAUGUAGAGAUUAAAAGUUCUCAAAAAAUAAUUAAAAUGGUAAAUGGCCUGUAUUUGUAUAGCGCUUUACUUAGUCCCUAUGGACCCCAAUGCGCUUCACACUACAUUCGGUCACCCACACAUUCACACACUGGUGAUGGCAGCUACAUUGUAGCCACAGCUGCCCUGGGGCGCACUGACAGAGGCGAGGCUGCCAGACACUGGCGCCACCGGGCCCUCUGACCACCACCAGUCGGCAACUGGUGACGUAUCUUGGCCAAGGACACAACGACCGAGACUGUCGGAAUCGGGGCUCGAACCGGCAACCUUCCAAUUACAAGACAACCUGCCAACUCUUGAGCCACGAUCGCCAAUUACUAAAGUAAAGUAAAGAUACCUGAAAGUUCUCCCUAUCAUUUGUAUAUGCACUUCUUUACUUCCUUCCUCUGGUUAAACUGUAAUGGGCAGCUAGCAACUCAUCGUGGUUCUGCCAUCCUCAUGCUCUACUAGACAAUUGAAAUUUUGUUAUGAGUGCAUCUUGUUAGAAGGGCAUGACAUUGAGAAGGACCACUUCUGAAACAAUCCAGCAGAAUAAACACAUUCUCUUCACACUUUUUUACAUUAACUCCUGAUUUCAACCUGGAUGAGCUGAAAUACUAUAUUUAUUCAUCCCAUUAGCAAAUAUUACAAUGGAGAAGAAAAAGACAAAAAAUGGAGCUGCAUCCUCAUCAAAACACCCUCAAUGACUGGACUCAUUCACCAAUUUGCCAACCCAGACAAAAUCAACCUCUUCAUCUCAGGUUAGCGACACAUUAUUUCUUGAGAUCAAAAGCUAUCAGUGCUGAUGCCAGUUUGUUAAACUGUUGCACAACGAACACCUGGUCCUCAUAAGAAAGCAAGUUAUUAAAAAAAACCCGGAAUGCAAUAAUCUCUGUUGACAAACUAUAUUGAAGGACAAUUUUUAAACAGAUGAAGCCUUCUUGGCUCUGCUAAAAAAAACAAUGUCGUGAAAAGAAAAAAUGUGUAGAUGAUCACGUACUACUAGUGGUGGCCAAAUAAUGCUUUCUGAAGCAUUGAAAAAGGGUUCAUUACUCAAAGCUUUUACACAGUCCUCUUUGGUGCCAUCUGCUGGACAAAAAUAUGAAGAGCUGCUUGAAUCUACAGCUUGCAAUCAACGAUUUUGUUACAAUUGCCCACUCAAGAGAGCUGAGUUGACAACUUCUGUAUAAUAUCACGUGACAGUUCUGUCUGAUAUCGGGAUACUGUUUAUGUUAUGUCUGUUUCACUAUGAAAUAAUUUUGAUGAAUGAACCUUCCUUGUUUAAAACAUGUACCAUGGUAUGGUCUCUCUUUGAUUGUGACAUUAUGUAUAAUAAUUUACAAGAGACUGUUACAAUAGGUUGGGAGUGUGCUGUGAUGUCCUGCCUCCAUGUGGUUAUGUAAUUAUCCAGUGGACAGGUACAUUUGAUAUACUCUAUUAUAACUUUUAUGUGUAGUGUAUUUCUUAUGUAUGUUUGUGACCUGUGAGCAGGAUUUGUAAUGAACUGGUAAAAUAAAAACACAAAACAUAUAAA
ensembl:lncRNA